UACGUAGGGGGCUAGCGUUGUCCGGAAUCAUUGGGCGUAAAGCGCGUGUAGGCGGCUUGGCAAGUCGGGUGUGAAAGCCCUCAGCUCAACUGAGGAAGUGCGCCCGAAACUGUCGAGCUUGAGUGCCGGAGAGGGUGGCGGAAUUCCCCAAGUAGAGGUGAAAUUCGUAGAUAUGGGGAGGAACACCGGUGGCGAAGGCGGCCACCUGGACGGCAACUGACGCUGAGACGCGAAAGCGUGGGGAGCAAACAGG
rnacentral:rRNA from 1 species